GACACAUCUGCCUCUCCAGGACCUCAGAUUCCUGACAACACUGUUGGCUUCCCGGAGACUCCUUCAUCCUGCAGAAGAUGCAAUUCCACGGGGUCCUGAGAGAUUGGACAUGGGUGGGAUGUGGCAGUCCUCAUGGAAGACUCUUGAACAAGUGUCGCAACAGAACAGCUCCCCUCCGUCCCGGCACACCUCACACUCAUCCAAGUUUCUCAUCUAGAAGACAUCUGGCUGUGGGCUGUGAGACAUAAACCUCCAUGUCAAGCUCAUACAAAAUCAGCCACGCAAACACUGACCUCCAGGGCUGUUUUAACCAUUCGUGAGUCCCUGAGUUGGCCGGGCAUCAAAAUCAGUGUGGAAAAGACCUAAAUCUGAUUGGAGGACUGCUUUGGAGGUUCUCAUUCACACCCAGUCUUCGAAAAACCAUCACCUUGUCCUGAAUCUACACUGCACUUAACCUAUUUGUUUGUUGCGUUCUUAAGUGAAGGAAAAAUCACUUUCACAGAUAAAAAGCAGGUCUGCACAGUCCCUCUGGUAGAACCAAAGAGGUGGCAUCAACAUAAAAGAUUUUCCUGGUCAGCUCCUCCUGUAAAAUACGUUUGCCUCUGGAGAUCUUCCUCCCCAAUGGCACCAUCUUGACAAAGAAUGGAACAGUCAUUCCUGGCACAGCCAAGGCUGGAACUCAGGCUUCCUAAUGUUAAAACCUGUGAUCAUCACCCAAGCCAAGCACCCUGCCUUGGUGACAGCACUCCAGAAGGGAGAGAGAAUAUGAAGCUUGAGGUUGAGGGCCUCUUCCCUUUUCUGUCUGAUUCAAAGUAAAAUACCUGACAUUUUCCAUCUGUGAAUUGACGUUCCUGCCUUCUCUUUUGUUCUUUGGGUACCCCCUGGACACUCCAUGUGCGAGUCAGCGUCUAAUGGGUGUGAUUUCUUAAAGUCUUAAAAUGUCAUCUUAGGGAUCCCUUCCUCCUUCCCUCAAGCUAAACUGGGCCCAAAACUCCUUGAAUGAUGUGUAAUUCACACAAAUAAUUUCACCACUUCUUGUGAUGCCUUCAGAUAGGAGCUGCAAAUUAAAGAAGACUAUGAA
rnacentral:lncRNA from 1 species